UACAGGGGGGGCAAGCGUUGUUCGGAAUUACUGGGCGUAAAGGGUCCGUAGGUGGCUUGCUAAGUCAGACGUGAAAUCCCUCAGCUUAACUGGGGAACUGCGUCUGAUACUGGCGAGCUUGAGUGCAGGAGAGGAACGCGGAAUUCCAGGUGUAGCGGUGAAAUGCGUAGAUAUCUGGAGGAACACCGGUGGCGAAGGCGGCGUUCUGGACUGCAACUGACACUGAGGCACGAAAGCUUGGGGAGCAAACAGG
rnacentral:rRNA from 1 species